rnacentral:tRNA from 1 species
GCCUGGGUAGCUCAGUCGGCAGAGCAUUUCCAUGGUAAGGAAAAGGCCGGGAGUUCGAUCCUCCCCCCAGGCUCCA